UCUCAUUUUCUGCCUUUCUAAUCUUGAAGC
rnacentral:piRNA from 1 species